rnacentral:lncRNA from 1 species
CCCCUCCUACUCGUCCUCCGCCUCCUUCCUCCCCCACCCAGCCUUACACCGCCCAGCGCCCCGCCACCCGCGUAACAGGCGUCUGGGAAUCGCCGGCCGAGCCCCGCUCCCGCCCACUUAGGCUACGGUGCCGAAGCCCGAGCGGAGCCAAUCACGGACGUCGAUUGUUUGUGGCUCCUCCCGGAAAAAGCCGAUCGACCUGAGAAACCAAUUAGGAAGUGUCGCUGGAAAUCCACGCCCAAAAAGCGGAAAAUGCCGAAAAUAGCCGAACGAAAAGAAAAUACUCGGGUUUUGAGGGGAUGAAAUGAGACAGCACCUGUGAAAACGGUUUGGAUAUUUUGAAGGCCUGCACUCAUGUAGGAGCAUGGGUGAAGAUGAUUACUGGGAGACAGCAAGAAGGGAGUCUUUAACAGCAAAUUCAUUGCAAAUUCUCAAUGCUUCACUGCUCAAUAAAGAAGUUCCAUUGCACA